AAACCAACAGGGAUUGCCCUAGUAACGGCGAGUGAAGCGGCAAGAGCUCAAAUUUGAAAUCUGGCCCUCUCAGGGUCCGAGUUGUAAUUUGUAGAGGGCGCUUUGGCGUUGGCCCCGGCCUAAGUUCCUUGGAACAGGACGUCACAGAGGGUGAGAACCCCGUACGUGGCCGCCGGCCUCCGCCGUGUAAAGCCCCUUCGACGAGUCGAGUUGUUUGGGAAUGCAGCUCUAAAUGGGAGGUAAAUUUCUUCUAAAGCUAAAUACUGGCCAGAGACCGAUAGCGCACAAGUAGAGUGAUCGAAAGAUGAAAAGCACUUUGGAAAGAGAGUCAAAAAGCACGUGAAAUUGUUGAAAGGGAAGCGCUUGCAGCCAGACUUGCCUGUAGUUGUUCAUCCGUGCCACUGGCACGGUGCACUCUUCUGCGGGCAGGCCAGCAUCAGUCCGGGCGGUCGGAUAAAGGCCUCGGGAAUGUAGCUCCCCUCGGGGAGUGUUAUAGCCCGGGGUGCCAUGCGACCAGCCUGGACUGAGGUCCGCGCAUCUGCUAGGAUGCUGGCGUAAUGGCUGUAAGCGGC
rnacentral:rRNA from 1 species